UCUCUUCUACUCUUUAUCGUUCAAGUGUUUCCGAUACCGGCUAAUCAAGAGUGCUUGAUUUUUCUGUGUUGAGUUUGAUUUAGAUCAACUUUGUAAUCUCGAUUUGCAGAUUUUUAUUUUGUAUUUCUUUUUGUAACUCACAGUGUUCGUCGUAUAGCCGGAGAUACGAUAAUGGCGGGGUAAUUUCUUGCAUAGGGUUCUGUCUGACGUGGUGAAUGAGCUAGUCGUUAAUACUCUCGCUAAAGGGGAAUACUUUUUUUUUUAUCUGUUUGUUUAGAUUAUUUGUCCGAAUUUUGUUUCUAAUUCCGUGUUGCUAAAAGUGGAGAGAGACCUUGGCUGUUAGCUUCAUCAGCUAUUCAUGGCAUGUGUUGGAAUAAUUUUUUGUUCUAGGCACAUUCGAUUUAUUGCUGUUUUAAAUUGUGGUGUUAUAAGUUUGGUGGUUGGUUUCGUAUCCGAUUUGGCAUUGUGGUUCUUGUUUGAUUUUUUCAAUCACAUGGAAAUACCAUAAUUUUUUGUCAUGGGGAAAUUUGUGAGUAAUCAAGUUCAGUCUUUGUUGGAAUUUUAGUAUUGUAAUUUUUUGGGCCCCUCUGAUAACACAGACUGUUUGUUAUGCUAAUAUGUUAAGUUACUGAAUCUUGCCAAUUACAAGUUGUUCUUCUUUGGUCUAUUGAGGCUGAGGGGGAACAACAUCAGAAUUUGUAGUCUUUUUAUCAUACAGCACUAUGCGUUUUUGUGUGCUUUAGCUGAAAUUUUGAAGUUUGAGAAACUCUUUGUCUUAGUAGGUUAUAUAUAUAUAUAUAUCAUAUUUUUUCCUUUCCUUUCUAUCUUGCUGUGAAAAUCAUGAUGAAAGCUUUGCAUUAUACAAUAUGGUGAUUUCUAUAGUCAUCUUAAGCUUCUUUUGAGCUGUCAGGAGUGAUGGUCCCCUGUAUGGUAUGUUCUCCAGCAAAAUAAUUUCAAACCUUUCAUUUUUAAUCUGCUGCAGAAUAUGAAGUUUGAAUAUAUUUUUUACCAUUCUGUUAAGCUUUGCUUGUAUGAUUUGGGUUUGACAGGGAUGAAUAGAAGUAACUUGGCGUGUGUUUACCUACUUAAUUUACUUCGUUGCUGUUAUUGGAUGUCUGUUUGUUUAUUUUACAGAGAGUAUUUCAGAUUGUUGUUUUUCUUUACUUGGAGAAGUGUGGCAGUGAGUUAAAUGGAUUUAAAGAAGUUGUUCUGUGACUAUGUCAUAUACAAGGAGCUAUUCCCAGUUUAUGCAUCUGCUCAGAACCGGAAGCAUAUUGGUAAUUAGUUUAUUGACUGGGAGGCAGUUCAAUUGUGGUUGGACUCGACCCUUGGUUAAAGCUUCUUACUCUAGGCCAUUGGAAAUAAUGCAUCUUUCCAAUUGGUUCGCUCCCGGAAGCAAAAUUUUCAAACUUCUAAAUUUUUAAUCGGCAGUGGAAUCUGUUUUGUAAUUUGUUUUCACUGCAAAUUGGGAGUUUGAGAAAUUUCAAAAACAUGUUGAGUUUAAUUCCCAUGUUCUGUUCUUUUGGCCUAUUAUGAUUUUUUUUUUGUUCCAAGUUGCCUAUAUAUGACUAUGUUGUUAGACAAGAAACAUUUUACCAUUUAAAAUUUUUAGCUUUAGAGGCCUGGUUUUACAAUGUAGAUUUGCACAGAACUGCUGCUAUGGAGUUUUAGAAGAAUUUAUCUGCAGGUCAAGAAAUUCUUUUAAAUGCAAAAGAUUUUUUCCCAUGUACACGGUGAAUAGUAAAAACUUCUUUUUGAGGUCUAUUUUCUUGAUCUAGUAAAAACUUCUUAUUGGCCAUUGGUGAAUUAUAAGUUCUAUUUAAGUUAGAGGAGGUUUUUUCCUUUCAUUGACCGAAUGGAAAGUCAGGUUUGUGAUUUGUUGUGUUUAGAAGGAUUCAUCUAUGUGAAAAUGAUAACAAUACAUGAAGCUCAAUGAAGCUUGAUUUAUAGCUGGUUGUUAAUAGUACAUUAUUGUUGUCUGUCAAAUGGCUGAGCCUUUUUAUUUUUUGUACUUUGUAGGGUGUGUUUUAUUUGUUAGAUAAUCUGAGUGAUUGUUUAUGCAGUGGUAUUAUUUGCUAUCUCCAUUUAUCUUAAUGCUGGUGUAUUAUUUGUACCGAAGAUUUAUGUUGUGGUUAUCUUUUGGAUUCAAGGAUGGUUGGUUGCUGUUUUGUUUUUUUUUUUUUUAAUUUCAAUUAGACUAUAUUUGAAGCAUCUAGUGGUAGAAAAAGCUGACUAUAGUUUCUUUUGAUUUUUCAACCUUUUAUUGUAGUAUCUCAUUCCAAAGGUUUGUUGUAAGAACAUCUAGGAAAAUUGAGGCUAUGUACAAAAUGGGUAUCUCUCUUCUCUUCUUAUCAUAAUUAAUUUGUUGAUUUGUUUUUGACAUGGUGCUAGUCUACAACUCUGCAUAUCUUGGAAUCACUCCCUUUUCCAGCUUCACAAAAGAAGCGGGAACUUUCUGAACAGUCGCCGCCCAAAGACCGUUGAUGCAAUGGUGAUUAACUGUUCGUGCAAUGAACUUUGAAUCUCUUAUCUGCCACCCCAUGUCAACUAAGAUGAGAUUUGUAAAUCUAUGAUAUGAGGCGGAGAAUGGUUAUUGUUUUUUUUUUUUUUUUUUUUUUUAUGAGCAGCAGGUAUAUUAAUACAAAAGGAAAGAGAAACAGCAAGGCAUCAAAAAGGAUGGCCUGAGGCAGAAAACAUGGACCAUAACACAUCAAAAGAAGAGAAGAAACAAGUAAAGAGAAGUGUUUAUAGAGGGGAUAAAGAUUCAUGAUCAUGGAGGCAGAAGUCAGAGCUUGAAACUUGAUAUGAUGAUCUGUAGCAGAUAAGAUGUUGCUUGUUAAAAUGAUCUCCUGGUAAUCUUAUUGAUGAUUGUUCUGCAAGGGGUUCAGUGAGCACAAGAUUACCUCCCUUGGUUUAGCAGACGUUAGGAGCUAGGGAAACUGAGCAAUUUUGUUAUAUGCCCUGAAGAACAAGUCAAAAGUAAACAUUAUUCUUUGGCUUUUCGUCCCCCCCAUAGGUAUGCUUCACCAAAUCCAGCUGCAGAUGGCCUCACCUCACCCAUUCUUGUUUGAUUUCUCUGAUGGGGAAAUUUUGUGUUGGCUUAAUAUGCCCGGGUUUCACAGGUCCAGGGCUCAAUUUUUAAUUUUUUCUUCCCUAAAA